CAACUUUCAACAACGGAUCUCUUGGCUCUCGCAUCGAUGAAGAACGCAGCGAAUCGCGAUAAGUAAUGUGAAUUGCGGAAUUACGUGAAUCAUCGAAUCUUUGAACGCAUAUUGCACUCUCUGGUAAUCCGGGGAGUAUGCCUGUUUGAGGGUCAGU
rnacentral:rRNA from 1 species